rnacentral:rRNA from 1 species
UACGGAGGUGGCAAGCGUUGCUCGGAAUCACUGGGCGUAAAGGGCGCGUAGGCGGGGAGGUAAGUCGGGUGUGAAAUCCCUCGGCCCAACCGAGGAACUGCGCCCGAGACUGCUUCUCUUGAGUCCCGGAGAGGAAGAUGGAACUCCCGGUGUAGCGGUGAAAUGUGUAGAGAUCGGGAGGAACACCGGUGGCGAAGGCGGUCUUCUGGACGGUGACGUGACGCUG